UGGGGAAUAUUGGACAAUGGGCGCAAGCCUGAUCCAGCCAUGCCGCGUGAGUGAUGAAGGCCUUAGGGUUGUAAAUCUCUUUCACCGGGGAAGAUAAUGACGGUACCCGGAGAAGAAGCCCCGGCUAACUCCGUGCCAGCAGCCGCGGUAAUACGGAGGGGGCUAGCGUUGUUCGGAAUUACUGGGCGUAAAGCGGGCGUAGGCGGCGCGGCAAGUUAGGACUGAAAGCCCGGGGCUUAACUCCGGAAUUGCACUUAAGACUGCUGCGCUAGAGGCCGAGAGAGGUGAGUGGAAUUCCCAGUGUAGAGGUGAAAUUCGUAGAUAUUGGGAAGAACACCAGUGGCGAAGGCGGCUCACUGGCUCGGUUCCGACGCUGAGGUGCGAAAGCGUGGGGAGCAAACAGGAUUAGAUACCCCCGUAGUCC
rnacentral:rRNA from 1 species